GGACGGAAAUGGCACAAUCGACUUCCCCGAGUUCCUGACUAUGAUGGCGCGCAAGAUGCGCGACACGGACUCUGAGGAGGAGAUCAAGGAGGCGUUCAAGGUCUUCGAUAAGGAUGGCAACGGGUACAUCUCCGCCGCUGAGCUCCGGCAUGUCAUGACCAACCUCGGCGAGAAGCUUUCGGACAGCGAGGUCGACGAGAUGAUUCGCGAAGCUGAUGUCGACGGUGAUGGUCAGAUCAACUACGAGGAG
rnacentral:misc_RNA from 1 species